rnacentral:rRNA from 1 species
CCUACGGGAGGCAGCAGUGAGGAAUAUUGGGCAAUGGGCGCGAGCCUGAACCAGCCAAGUCGCGUGAGUGAAGACGGUCCUAUGGAUUGUAAACCUCUUUUGUCGGGGAGCAAAAGACUCCACGCGUGGCGUUCCGAGAGUACCCGAAGAACAAGCAUCGGCUAACUCCGUGCCAUCAGCCGCGGUAAUACGGGGGAUGCGAGCGUUAUCCGGAUUGCGUGGGUUUAAAGGGUGCGCAGGCGGAAGAUCAAGGCAGCGGUAAUAUUGAGAGGCUCAACCUCUUCGAGCCGUUGAAACUGGUUUUCUUGAGUGAGUGAGCAGUAGGCGGGAGGCGUGGUGUAGCGGUGAAAUGCAUAGAUAUCACGCAGAACUCCGAUUGCGAAGGCAGCAGACCGGCGCUCAACUGACGCUCAUGCACGAAAGUGUGGGUAUCGAACAGGAUUAGAUACCCCUGUAGUC